rnacentral:tRNA from 3 species
CGGGGUGUAGCUCAGCUUGGCUAGAGCGUCCGCUUUGGGAGCGGAAGGUCGCAGUUUCGAAUACUGUCAUCCCGA